rnacentral:rRNA from 1 species
CUUUGAUUAUGGCUCAGGAUGAACGCUAGCUACAGGCUUAACACAUGCAAGUCGAGGGGAAACGACAUCGAAAGCUUGCUUUUGAUGGGCGUCGACCGGCGCACGGGUGAGUAACGCGUAUCCAACCUGCCCACCACUUGGGGAUAACCUUGCGAAAGUAAGACUAAUACCCAAUGACGUCUCUAGAAGACAUCUGAAAGAGAUUAAAGAUUUAUCGGUGAUGGAUGGGGAUGCGUCUGAUUAGCUUGUUGGCGGGGUAACGGCCCACCAAGGCUACGAUCAGUAGGGGUUCUGAGAGGAAGGUCCCCCACAUUGGAACUGAGACACGGUCCAAACUCCUACGGGAGGCAGCAGUGAGGAAUAUUGGUCAAUGGACGAGAGUCUGAACCAGCCAAGUAGCGUGCAGGAUGACGGCCCUAUGGGUUGUAAACUGCUUUUAUAAGGGAAUAAAGUGAGUCUCGUGAGGCUUUUUGCAUGUACCUUAUGAAUAAGGACCGGCUAAUUCCGUGCCAGCAGCCGCGGUAAUACGGAAGGUCCGGGCGUUAUCCGGAUUUAUUGGGUUUAAAGGGAGCGUAGGCCGGAGAUUAAGCGUGUUGUGAAAUGUAGACGCUCAACGUCUGCACUGCAGCGCGAACUGGUUUCCUUGAGUACGCACAAAGUGGGCGGAAUUCGUGGUGUAGCGGUGAAAUGCUUAGAUAUCACGAAGAACUCCGAUUGCGAAGGCAGCUCACUGGAGCGCAACUGACGCUGAAGCUCGAAAGUGCGGGUAUCGAACAGGAUUAGAUACCCUGGUAGUCCGCACGGUAAACGAUGGAUGCCCGCUGUUGGUCUGAAUAGGUCAGCGGCCAAGCGAAAGCAUUAAGCAUCCCACCUGGGGAGUACGUCGGCAACGGUGCAACUCAAAUGAAUUGACGGA